rnacentral:rRNA from 1 species
GGAGGAAGCCCUUCGGGGUGUAAACCCCUGUUGGCGAGGGAAGAAGCCGUCCCUUCGGGGACGGUUGACGGUACCUCGCGAGAAAGCCCCGGCUAACUCCGUGCCAGCAGCCGCGGUAAAACGGAGGGGGCGAGCGUUGCCCGGAUUUACUGGGCUUAAAGGGUCCGUAGGCGGUGUUCCAAGUCCCCCGUGAAAGCUGCCCGCUCAACGGGCAGAGGUCGGGGGAGACUGGAGCACUUGAGGGCGGAAGAGGCCGGCGGAACGGCGGGUGUAGCGGUGAAAUGCGUCGAUAUCCGCCGGAACACCAGUGGCGAAGGCGGCCGGCUGGGACGCCCCUGACGCUGAGGGACGAAGGCCGGGGGAGCGAACCGGAUUAGAUACCCGGGUAGUCCCGGCAGUAAACGUUGGGCGCUAGGUGUGGGGAGUCUCGACCCUCCCCGUGCCGCAGGGAAACCAAUAAGCGCCCCGCCUGGGGAGUACGGGCGCAAGCCUGAAACUCAAACCAAUUGACGGGGGCCCGCACAAGCGGCGGAGCAUGUGGCUUAAUUCGAUGCUACCCGAAGAACCUUACCAGGGCUUGACAUGCUGGCUUAAGCCCGCCCGAAAGGGUUGGGUGGGACGGUUUACGCCGUCCAGCCAGCACAGGUGGUGCACGGCUGUCGUCAGCUCGUGCCGUGAGGUGUCCGGUUAAGUCCGGCAACGAGCGCAACCCCCGCCGCC